CCUACGGGAGGCUGCAGUGAGGAAUAUUGGUCAAUGGCCGAAAGGCUGAACCAGCCAAGUCGCGUGAAGGACGCAGGUGCCAAGCGUUGUAAACUUCUUUUGUCAAGGGACAAAAUCGUGCUCGAGAGCCUGACCGGGGGUACUUUGAGAAAAAGCCUCGGCUAACUCCUGGCCAGCAGCCGCGGUACUACGGAGGAUGCGAGCGUUUUCCGGAUUUAUUGGGGUUAAAGGGUGCGUAGGCGGGCUGUUAAGUCAGCGGUAAAAGCUCGGGGCUCAACCCCGGCGAGCCGUUGAAACUGGCUGUCUUGAGAGGGCGAGAGGUAUGCGGAAUGCGCAGUGUAGCGGUGAAAUGCUUAGAUAUUGCGCAGAACUCCGAUUGCGAAGGCAGCAUACCGGCGGCGAUCUGACGCUGAGGCACGAAAGCGUGGGUAUCGAACAGGAUUAGAUACCCUGGUAGUC
rnacentral:rRNA from 1 species